rnacentral:rRNA from 1 species
CUGGCGGCGUGCUUAACACAUGCAAGUCGAACGAUGAAGCCUAGCUUGCUAGGUGGAUUAGUGGCGAACGGGUGAGUAAUACGUGAGUUGACCUACCUUUGACUCUGGGAUAAGCCUGGGAAACUGGGUCUAAUACCGGAUACGACCAAUCUCCGCAUGGGGUGUUGGUGGAAAGCGUUAUGGAGUGGUUUUAGAUGGGCUCACGGCCUAUCAGCUUGUUGGUGAGGUAAUGGCUUACCAAGGCGACGACGGGUAGCCGGCCUGAGAGGGUGACCGGCCACACUGGGACUGAGACACGGCCCAGACUCCUACGGGAGGCAGCAGUGGGGAAUAUUGCACAAUGGGCGCAAGCCUGAUGCAGCGACGCCGCGUGAGGGAUGACGGCCUUCGGGUUGUAAACCUCUGUUAGCAUCGAAGAAGCGAAAGUGACGGUAGGUGCAGAGAAAGCGCCGGCUAACUACGUGCCAGCAGCCGCGGUAAUACGUAGGGCGCGAGCGUUGUCCGGAAUUAUUGGGCGUAAAGAGCUUGUAGGCGGUUGGUCGCGUCUGCUGUGAAAGGCUGGGGCUUAACCCUGGUUUUGCAGUGGGUACGGGCUAACUAGAGUGCAGUAGGGGAGACUGGAAUUCCUGGUGUAGCGGUGGAAUGCGCAGAUAUCAGGAGGAACACCGAUGGCGAAGGCAGGUCUCUGGGCUGUAACUGACGCUGAGAAGCGAAAGCAUGGGGAGCGAACAGGAUUAGAUACCCUGGUAGUCCAUGCCGUAAACGUUGGGCACUAGGUGUGGGGGACAUUCCACGUUUUCCGCGCCGUAGCUAACGCAUUAAGUGCCCCGCCUGGGGAGUACGGCCGCAAGGCUAAAACUCAAAGAAAUUGACGGGGGCCCGCACAAGCGGCGGAGCAUGCGGAUUAAUUCGAUGCAACGCGAAGAACCUUACCAAGGCUUGACAUAUACUGGACUGCGUCAGAGAUGGCGUUUCCCUUCGGGGCUGGUAUACAGGUGGUGCAUGGUUGUCGUCAGCUCGUGUCGUGAGAUGUUGGGUUAAGUCCCGCAACGAGCGCAACCCUCGUUCUAUGUUGCCAGCACGUGAUGGUGGGGACUCAUAGGAGACUGCCGGGGUUAACUCGGAGGAAGGUGGGGAUGACGUCAAAUCAUCAUGCCCCUUAUGUCUUGGGCUUCACGCAUGCUACGAAUGGCCGGUACAGAGGGUUGCGAUACUGUGAGGUGGAGCUAAUCCCUAAAAGCCGGUCUCAGUUUCGGAUUGGGGUACUGCGAACUCGACCCCGUGAAGUCGGAGUCGCUAGUAAUCGCAGAUCAGCAAACGCUGCGGUGAAAUACGUUUCCCGGGCCUUGCACACACCGCCCGUCA